GAUCUGGAGUGUGUUUGCAUUUUGAUCAGAUGCUUCAGUGCUCUGAGAGUGUUUAUAGUGCUGUGAGUUUAACACUUCAUCACUGACACACACAACAAUCUUCAUCAACAUGACCUUCAUCAUCAUCUUCAUCUGGACUCUCACAGCGUUUGCUCAAGAGUGUAGAGGACAGAUCACCGUCACUCAGAGUCCCUCAAUGACAGCAGCUCAACCAGGACAAACUGUGAACAUCAACUGUAGAACCAGCAGUAAUGUGUACAGAUAUAGUGAUGGGGAUGAAGCUUUAUUCUGGUACUUACAGAAACCUGGAGAAGCUCCUAAACUCAUGAUUCGUUAUGCAAAAAAACUUGAGUCAGGAACUCCAUCUAGAUUCAGUGGCAGUGGAUCUAACAGUGAUUUCACUCUGACCAUCAGUGGAGUCCAGACUGAAGAUGCUGGACAUUAUUACUGUCAGAGUUAUCACUACAUCAACAGUCAAUAUGUGUUCACACAGUGAUAAAGAGUCGUACAAAAACCUCCGUCAGUCAGAGUCACAGUGACUGAACUGAUACUGCAGCUGCUCAAAGGAGGAUCUGAAACAACAUCGUCACACAAACAUCAGAAAUAAAAUCAUCUAAAUUAA